rnacentral:tRNA from 1 species
AAGGAUUUAAGUUAACAAAUAAACUCAUAGUCUUCAAAACUAUCUAUAAAGAUCCAUCUUUAAGCCUUA